UCCGGUUUGUCACCGGCAGUCCCAUUAGAGUGCCCAACUGAAUGUGGCAACUAAUGGCAAGGGUUGCGCUCGUUGCGGGACUUAACCCAACAUCUCACGACACGAGCUGACGACAGCCAUGCAGCACCUGUGCAUGGACUCCGAAGAGGGCCUGCCGUCUCUGGCAGUUUUCCCAUGCAUGUCAAGCCUAGGUAAGGUUCUUCGCGUCGCGUCGAAUUAAGCCACAUGCUCCGCCGCUUGUGCGGGUCCCCGUCAAUUCCUUUGAGUUUUAAUCUUGCGACCGUACUCCCCAGGCGGAGUGCUUAAUGCGUUAGCUGCGUCACCGAACGGCAUGCCGUCCGACAACUAGCACUCAUCGUUUACGGCGUGGACUAC
rnacentral:misc_RNA from 1 species